rnacentral:rRNA from 1 species
GACGAACGCUGGCGGCGUGCUUAACACAUGCAAGUCGAGCGGUAAGGCCCUUUCGGGGGUACACGAGCGGCGAACGGGUGAGUAACACGUGGGUGACCUGCCCUCAGCUCUGGGAUAAGCCCGGGAAACUGGGUCUAAUACCGGAUAUGACUUCAUGACGCAUGUUGUGGAGUGGAAAGCCUUGUGCGGCUGAGGAUGGGCCCGCGGCCUAUCAGCUUGUUGGUGGGGUGAUGGCCUACCAAGGCGACGACGGGUAGCCGGCCUGAGAGGGCGACCGGCCACACUGGGACUGAGAUACGGCCCAGACUCCUACGGGAGGCAGCAGUGGGGAAUCUUGCGCAAUGGGCGAAAGCCUGACGCAGCGACG